rnacentral:rRNA from 1 species
UACGUAGGGUGUGAGCGUUAAUCGGAAUUACUGGGCGUAAAGCGUGCGCAGGCGGUUUUGUAAGCCAGAUGUGAAAUCCCCGGGCUUAACCUGGGAAUGGCAUUUGGGACUGCAAGGCUGGAGUACGGCAGAGGAGACUGGAAUUCCUGGUGUAGCAGUGAAAUGCGUAGAGAUCAGGAGGAAUACCGAUGGCGAAGGCAGGUCUCUGGGCUGAUACUGACGCUCAUGCACGAAAGCGUGGGGAGCAAACAGG